rnacentral:rRNA from 1 species
CUGCAACUCGCCUGCAUGAAGUCGGAAUUGCUAGUAAUCGUAGGUCAGCAUACUACGGUGAAUACGUUCCCGGGCCUUGUACACACCGCCCGUCAAACCAUGAGAGUUGGCAACACCCGAAGUCGGUAGUCUAACCGCAAGGAGGACGCCGCCGAAGGUGGGGUUGAUGAUUAGGGUUAAGUCGUAACAAGGUAGC